GAUGAACGCUGGCGGCGUGCCUAAUACAUGCAAGUCGAGCGAACAGACGAGGAGCUUGCUACUCUGAUGUUAACGGCGGACGGGUGAGUAACACGUGGAUAACCUACCUAUAAGACUGGGAUAACUUCGGGAAACCGGAGCUAAUACCGGAUCAUAUAUUGAACCGCAUGGUUCAAUAGUGAAAGACGGUUUUGCUGUCACUUAUAGAUGGAUCCGCGCCGCAUUAGCUAGUUGGUAAGGUAACGGCUUACCAAGGCAACGAUGCGUAGCCGACCUGAGAGGGUGAUCGGCCACACUGGAACUGAGACACGGUCCAGACUCCUACGGGAGGCAGCAGUAGGGAAUCUUCCGCAAUGGGCGAAAGCCUGACGGAGCAACGCCGCGUGAGUGAUGAAGGUCUUCGGAUCGUAAAACUCUGUUAUUAGGGAAGAACAAAUGUGUAAGUAACUAUGCACGUCUUGACGGUACCUAAUCAGAAAGCAACGGCUAACUACGUG
rnacentral:rRNA from 1 species